AUGGGGUUGGGGCUCAGCUGGGUUUUCCUUGUUGCUAUUUUGAGAGAUGUCCACUGUGAAGUCCAGCUGGUGGAGUCUGGAGGAGGCUUGGUACAACCUGGGGCGUCUCUGAGACUCUUCUGUGAAGCCUCUGGUUUCACCUUCAGUAGCUAUGGCAUGAACUGGGUCCACCAGGUUCCAGGGAAGGGGCUGGAGUGGGUCACUGGUGUUAGUAGUACUGGUGGUACCACAUACUAUGCAGAGUCUGUGAAGGGUCGGCUCACCGUCUCCAGAGACAACGCCAAGAACACACUGUAUCUGCAAAUGAACAGCCUGAGAACUGAGGACACAGCCGUGUAUUACUGUGCAAGAGACACACAGUGA